rnacentral:rRNA from 1 species
GUCCACGCCGUAACGAUGCACACUGGAUCUGGGAGCUUCUGACAGCGCCCGGGUCGAAGCGAAAGCGUUAAGUGUGCCGCCUGGGGACUACGGCCGCAAGGCUAAACUCAAAGGAAUUGACGGGGCUCACACAAGCGGUGGAGCAUGUGGCUUAAUUCGAAGCAACGCGAAGAACCUUACCCGGGUUUGACAUGCUUGGAUGCCUCUUGGGGAUAACUCAGGUAGGCUGCCCGCAAGGGGUGAAACUUGCACAGGUGUUGCAUGGCUGUCGU